UCGAAAAAUCAGUUUGAAACUACACUUGCAAAAAUGCACACGACCCCAGCAUCAAUGAGUAAUAUAUGCUGUGCACCCGCCGCCUCAAGUAGGCUGUGGAAUCACCUAUAAAAUGUCUCUCGGUCGACAUGGACUGCAUCAUUCGGAAGUGACAGUAUUCAUAGUGGUGAUAGCAAGCUACGCAGAGCAGUUGAUUAACCGAUAUUGAAAUAUUUGUGUUUGAUAAGAUUAGUUGUUUCAGAGUAUUUUCAUAGCAGCAACCAAAAUGUCGUGUAAAUGCUGUGGUAACGCUAAUUGCAGAUGCACUACGUGCUGUGGAACAGAUAAACCAUGCGGAUCAGGAUGUGCGUGCAAAUGUGCAUGCAAGACCGGAAAGGCUUGUAGUACACCCGGAUGCUGUUAAACACAGAAGUCGCGCUGUCAGAAUCAUGGAAGAUACAAAUGUUUGAAUGACGAAAUUGAUCUUUUCCAAAUAAAAUGUAGUUUUAAACAGUGCAUUUAAUAUUUUGGUUAAAUAAAAUUCGGAUGAAAACCUAAGUCGUCCUAGAGUUAAA